rnacentral:rRNA from 1 species
UUAAAUUGAAGAGUUUGAUCAUGGCUCAGAUUGAACGCUGGCGGCAGGCCUAACACAUGCAAGUCGAACGGUAACAGGAAGCAGCUUGCUGCUUUGCUGACAAGUGGCGGACGGGUGAGUAAUGUCUGGGAAACUGCCUGAUGGAGGGGGAUAACUACUGGAAACGGUAGCUAAUACCGCAUAACGUCGCAAGACCAAAGAGGGGGACCUUCGGGCCUCUUGCCAUUGGAUGUGCCCAGAUGGGAUUAGCUAGUAGGUGGGGUAACGGCUCACCUAGGCGACGAUCCCUAGCUGGUCUGAGAGGAUGACCAGCCACACUGGAACUGAGACACGGUCCAGACUCCUACGGGAGGCAGCAGUGGGGAAUAUUGCACAAUGGGCGCAAGCCUGAUGCAGCCAUGCCGCGUGUAUGAAGAAGGCCUUCGGGUUGUAAAGUACUUUCAGCGGGGAGGAAGGGAGUAAAGUUAAUACCUUUGCUCAUUGACGUUACCCGCAGAAGAAGCACCGGCUAACUCCGUGCCAGCAGCCGCGGUAAUACGGAGGGUGCAAGCGUUAAUCGGAAUUACUGGGCGUAAAGCGCACGCAGGCGGUUUGUUAAGUCAGAUGUGAAAUCCCCGGGCUCAACCUGGGAACUGCAUCUGAUACUGGCAAGCUUGAGUCUCGUAGAGGGGGGUAGAAUUCCAGGUGUAGCGGUGAAAUGCGUAGAGAUCUGGAGGAAUACCGGUGGCGAAGGCGGCCCCCUGGACGAAGACUGACGCUCAGGUGCGAAAGCGUGGGGAGCAAACAGGAUUAGAUACCCUGGUAGUCCACGCCGUAAACGAUGUCGACUUGGAGGUUGUGCCCUUGAGGCGUGGCUUCCGGAGCUAACGCGUUAAGUCGACCGCCUGGGGAGUACGGCCGCAAGGUUAAAACUCAAAUGAAUUGACGGGGGCCCGCACAAGCGGUGGAGCAUGUGGUUUAAUUCGAUGCAACGCGAAGAACCUUACCUGGUCUUGACAUCCACGGAAGUUUUCAGAGAUGAGAAUGUGCCUUCGGGAACCGUGAGACAGGUGCUGCAUGGCUGUCGUCAGCUCGUGUUGUGAAAUGUUGGGUUAAGUCCCGCAACGAGCGCAACCCUUAUCCUUUGUUGCCAGCGGUCCGGCCGGGAACUCAAAGGAGACUGCCAGUGAUAAACUGGAGGAAGGUGGGGAUGACGUCAAGUCAUCAUGGCCCUUACGACCAGGGCUACACACGUGCUACAAUGGCGCAUACAAAGAGAAGCGACCUCGCGAGAGCAAGCGGACCUCAUAAAGUGCGUCGUAGUCCGGAUUGGAGUCUGCAACUCGACUCCAUGAAGUCGGAAUCGCUAGUAAUCGUGGAUCAGAAUGCCACGGUGAAUACGUUCCCGGGCCUUGUACACACCGCCCGUCACACCAUGGGAGUGGGUUGCAAAAGAAGUAGGUAGCUUAACCUUCGGGAGGGCGCUUACCACUUUGUGAUUCAUGACUGGGGUGAAGUCGUAACAAGGUAACCGUAGGGGAACCUGCGGUUGGAUCACCUCCUUACCUUAAAGAAGC